rnacentral:lncRNA from 1 species
GUCGUCAGUCGGUCGUCGGUGACAGCUCACGGCGGCCAUUGUUGUAGGGGACGGGAGAAGCACCGGGACACAGGACGAUUAUCACACUAUACUGACUGGAAAUAACUAAUGCAAAUGUUACAACAAAACUUUGAAAAAUUAAACUGUACCAUAACAGCUGAAAAUGACCAAGUGGAGCCUGGAACAAGAGGUGCCACCACCAACACUGCACCAUCACCACCUAUGCCAAGGUGACAUGAUGCAACAUCUUCCCGAGGCAGUGGACCAGAAGGUAUGACACUGUAGACACUGGGAAGAAUACUUUACUACCAUCACCAAGUGGCAUCAUCAACAUAACCAGCCAACUGAAGUUAACCUGAGAUGGACACAAACUUCACCUGCUGCUGUAUGGUAAGUCCAUUGUUAUUAAUAGCUAAACUCUUAAUUGAACAUAUCUGUACUCAAGGCCAUAACCAGGGUGUAAGACAGUACAGUAGGCCCUGUUCAGAGCUAAGAAGGUGGAUGGAUAUUGACAAAGUUUUGCAUAGAGAUGGGUAGAUAUGGCGUAGGUAUAUGGAGCGGAGGGUGGAAACCAGUUAGGUCAAGAGAUGCACAAGUCUAAAUGUGGAAAGGAAGAGAGCCAGGGGUGGUCAAGUUUAUCAACUUUCCCUGCCUAACCUAACCUACUAAAGUUAAUGGAUAGGGAAGACUGCUGGAGAUAUGAUGGAAGAUUACAGAGGGACCCACCAAAUU